CAAUUUGUACCUAAAGUGCAAAUCCAUCAUAUACUGAAAAUCCAACCUCUUUGAGAUUGGAUAUUGGCAGUUGAAAUUGGGAUUGAAUAUCAGUGACUCCGGAGACAGGAUUACCAGAGUUCAAGCACAUUUUUCAGCAUCCCUUAGUGUUUUUCUUCCAAUGCUGUAUAAGGAAGAUGAAACACCAGGCAGCCAAGCAAAUACCAGAGGUGAACCUGUAAAACAAAUAAUUUAAGACAG
rnacentral:lncRNA from 1 species